rnacentral:misc_RNA from 1 species
UAAUGGAGGAAUUAUGUUUGAAAUCUAAAGUUGCAUGUUGAGACUAAUUAUGAAUGCGGAAUAUAUGUUGGAAAAUAAAGACAACAAUAUUUGUGAACAAAUUAAUUCGAUAAUUAACAAACACGUUGCUAGCAAAAGAAUUAAUUUUUCUAGCCGAGGGAACUAUAAUACACGUGUUGAAGCUGCUGUUGUUUCAUUUAAUAGCAAACAAUUUUUACGAAAGCUUCACAAAAAAAUGACAAAUAAUAUCAGUCCAGGAACAUUUGGAAAAAAUAUUUAAAAAAACCAUAUUCGAAUAGUAAACAAUACUAAACGAAGACGAGUAUUAUUUCUAGAAACCCGCAUAAUUAAAAAAUCUCGUACGGAAAACGGAUCAGAUGAGGACUACGGUUUGGCAGAGCCUCUAGUCGAAGAAUUGUCACUAGAAAUGUUUGAAAAAAAAAAAUCAAUUACUUGUUUCAUUAAAAAACUCAAAUCUGGAUGAAAUUGAAUUGGAAACUCGUGGACAAGCCGAUAGUGACGCACGGUACAGAUAACGUAGAUUACGUCUUACGGUUUUUCGGUUUGGUCAGAUUUGUAAAAUGCGUAGAACUAUAAGUUGUAAGAACACAAUGUAUAAUAUAUUAUAUAUAUCUGAAGCUCAAUAAAAAUCAUUAAAACAUGGUCGUGACAUGGAGGAUAUAGCUCUAUAAGAAGUUCAAAAAAUUAUUGGUGAACAAAUUCAGGCCAGCGGUUUAAUAGUAGAUCCGAUAAUUUCAUUUCUAGCUGCUAAUCCAGGUAUAAUAUUCUUAAAUUUUAGUUUAUAUAGUAUGAAUAAAAUAUAUUAUACAAUAUAUUUAAUUGUUUCAACAUAUUAUUUUUUGAUGGCUUAGUUGGAAGUAAUACAGUCGUAGAAAUAAAAUGCCCGUUUGCAUCACAAAAUACUAUUAGUGCACUUGACGCAGUAAAAAAAAAACUAGUUAGAAUGAGAAUUAAAAAAUUUUAAUUAGAUUAUAAAAAUAAUUUGAUACG